CGUUAAAUGUAGUCUGACAGGCGUGGAAACAUGCUUUUCUUCGGACAGAUUACAAGGUGCUGCAUGGUUGUCGUCAGCUCGUGCCGUGAGGUGUCAGGUUAAGUCCUAUAACGAGCGCAACCCCUGUUGUUAGUUGCCAGCGAGUAAUGUCGGGAACUCUAGCAAGACUGCCGGUGCAAACCGUGAGGAAGGUGGGGAUGACGUCAAAUCAUCACGGCCCUUACGUCCUGGGCCACACACGUGCUACAAUGGCCAGUACAGAGAGCAGCCACUUGGCGACAAGGAGCGAAUCUAUAAAGCUGGUCGCAGCUCGGAUUGGAGUCUGCAACUCGACUCUAUGAAGCUGGAAUCGCUAGUAAUCGGAUAUCAGCCAUGAUCCGGUGAAUACGUUCCCGGGCCUUGUACACACCGCCCGUCAAGCCAUGGAAGCUGGGGGUACCUGAAGUCGGUGACCGCAAGGAGCUGCCUAGGGUAAAACUAGUAACUGGGGCUAAGUCGUAACAAGGUAGGCGUAGUGCU
rnacentral:rRNA from 1 species